AUUGAACGCUGGCGGCAUGCCUUACACAUGCAAGUCGAACGGUAACAGGGUGCUUGCACCGCUGACGAGUGGCGAACGGGUGAGUAAUGCGUCGGAACGUGCCGAGUAGUGGGGGAUAACGCAGCGAAAGUUGUGCUAAUACCGCAUACGUACUGAGGUAGAAAGUGGGGGACCUUCGGGCCUCACGCUAUUCGAGCGGCCGACGUCUGAUUAGCUAGUAGGUGAGGUAAAGGCUCACCUAGGCGACGAUCAGUAGCGGGUCUGAGAGGAUGAUCCGCCACACUGGGACUGAGACACGGCCCAGACUCCUACGGGAGGCAGCAGUGGGGAAUUUUGGACAAUGGGCGAAAGCCUGAUCCAGCCAUGCCGCGUGUCUGAAGAAGGCCUUCGGGUUGUAAAGGACUUUUGUCAGGGAGGAAAUCUCUAGUGCUAAUAACACUGGGGGAUGACAGUACCUGAAGAAUAAGCACCGGCUAACUACGUGCCAGCCGCCGCAGUAA
rnacentral:rRNA from 1 species